rnacentral:rRNA from 1 species
UACAGAGGGUGCUAGCGUUGUUCGGAAUCAUUGGGCGUAAAGGGCGUGUAGGCGGUUUUGUUAAGUCAUGUGUGAAAUCCCUCGGCUCAACCGGGGAACGACGCAUGAAACUGGCAGCUAGAGUACCAAAGAGGGGGUGGAAUUCCGGUGUAGCGGUAAAAUGCGUAGAUAUCGGGAGGAACACCUGUGGCGAAGGCGGCCCCCUGGUUGGAUACUGACGCUGAUACGCGAAAGCGUGGGGAGCAAACAGG